rnacentral:rRNA from 1 species
GAUGAACGCUGGCGGCGUGCCUAAUACAUGCAAGUCGAGCGAACAGACGAGGAGCUUGCUCCUCUGACGUUAGCGGCGGACGGGUGAGUAACACGUGGAUAACCUACCUAUAAGACUGGGAUAACUUCGGGAAACCGGAGCUAAUACCGGAUAAUAUAUUGAACCGCAUGGUUCAAUAGUGAAAGACGGUUUUGCUGUCACUUAUAGAUGGAUCCGCGCCGCAUUAGCUAGUUGGUAAGGUAACGGCUUACCAAGGCAACGAUGCGUAGCCGACCUGAGAGGGUGAUCGGCCAAACUGGAACUGAGACACGGUCCAGACUCCUACGGGAGGCAGCAGUAGGGAAUCUUCCGCAGUGGGCGAAAGCUUGACGGAGCAACGCCGCGUGAGUGAUGAAGGUCUUCGGAUCGUAAAACUCUGUUAUUAGGGAAGAACAAAUGUGUAAGUAACUAUGCACGUCUUGACGGUACCUAAUCAGAAAGCCACGGCUAACUACGU